GACGAACGCUGGCGGCGUGCCUAAUACAUGCAGGUAGAACGCUGAAGGAGGAGCUUGCUUCUCUGGAUGAGUUGCGAACGGGUGAGUAACGCGUAGGUAACCUGCCUGGUAGCGGGGGAUAACUAUUGGAAACGAUAGCUAAUACCGCAUAAUAUUGACUAUUGCAUGAUAGUCAGUUGAAAGGUGCAACUGCACCACUACCAGAUGGACCUGCGUUGUAUUAGCUAGUUGGUGGGGUAACGGCUCACCAAGGCGACGAUACAUAGCCGACCUGAGAGGGUGAUCGGCCACACUGGGACUGAGACACGGCCCAGACUCCUACGGGAGGCAGCAGUAGGGAAUCUUCGGCAAUGGACGGAAGUCUGACCGAGCAACGCCGCGUGAGUGAAGAAGGUUGUCGGAUCGUAAAGCUCUGUUGUAAGAGAAGAACGAGUGUGAGAGUGGAAAGCUCACACUGUGACGGUAUCUUACCAGAAAGGGACGGCUAACUACGUG
rnacentral:rRNA from 1 species